ACGCCCGUAGCUCAAUGGUAGAGCGUUCCGCUUAUAUCGGAAUGGUUGUGGGUUCGAUUCCCUCCGGGCGCACAA
rnacentral:tRNA from 1 species